GCGGAAGUGGCUCAGUGGUAGAGCAUCUCCUUGCCAAGGAGAAGGUCGCGGGUUCGAAUCCCGUCUUCCGCU
rnacentral:tRNA from 3 species